UUCGCAAUGCCCGAAAGGGUGACGAAGCGACGCCGCGUGGGUGAGGAAGGCCCUCGGGUUGUAAAGCCCUGUCAGGAGUUAAGAAAUGUAAGUGCGCUAAUAUCGCAUUUAUUUGACGAAGGCUCCAAAGGAAGCCACGGCUAACUCUGUGCCAGCAGCCGCGGUAAUACAGAGGUGGCAAGCGUUGUUCGGAAUUAUUGGGCGUAAAGAGCACGUAGGUGGGUUUGUAAGUCAGAUGUGAAAGCCUUCUGUUCAACGGAAGAAUUGCAUCUGAAGCUACAAGUCUUGAGUGUAGGAGGGGAGAAUGGAACUUCUGGUGGAGCGGUGAAAUGCAUAGAUAUCAGAAGGAACGCCGGCGGCGAAAGCGAUUCUCUGGCCUAUUACUGACACUCAGUGUGCGAAAGCUAGGGGAGCAAACGGGAUUAGAUACCCCGGUAGUCCUAGCCGUAAACGAUGGGCACUAAGUAGAGGGGUUUU
rnacentral:rRNA from 1 species